UCAUAUUCUGAUGUUGGAUCUAUCCAAUCGCAAGCGUGUAUUCCAUACUGUCAUCAUAGCAACUUGAUUCGAGUUCCAGGAACGUCACUGAAUUUGCUUUCUGUCACAUAAUAUCUAACAAAAGAACCAGAAUAUUAGCGGUACGGACAGUAGUUCUAGAACAUACGUAUAAGGUUUUGGUAACGAUCAGUAACGAUUUUAUCCCGUGCUUCAUUCAAAUACCAUGUUACCCUGGUGAGUGCUAAGAGUGCGGAAUUCUUUUCAAUUAUUUAAAACACGACGCACAAAGCAUUUUAAGCAGGAGAUAUUCUUCUAUUCAUUAGAGCUGCAAAACUGUUGGUUGUACAUUUUUCUAUAUUCACGUUCAUACAUAUAUGCAAUUAUUCAAUCUGAUGGAACUUUAUUAUAUCGAGUGUGUUAAUGGUUACUAACCAAAUUAUCAUUUGAUUACGAGGCGACAAUUCAAUUUGGACGGCGACAUAGUACGAUAAUAUGGGAGAAAAAUGGAUCAGAUACAAUAGAAUAAAAACAAUGAAAAUAUUAGCGAUGACGAUAAUGAUGAUAACAAUCGGUUGUUCUAGUUGUUUCUAAUAUUGUUCCAAAAGAGCAUGGUCAGGUUGUUCCAGGUUGUUCUGAUUGUUCAAAACAUUCUUCCAAAGUAACAAUUGCGCUAAAUGAAAGGUACGCGAAUGAGAACAAAAACUGUUUUGGAGGGAUAUACCGUAAGACCCUGCUUAACGCGGGGGAUACGUUCCGAUAAGUUUCAACGCUAAACGAAACAGCAUUAAACGAGGUCAUCUUAACACGUAAAUAAUGGGGGUAAGUGAAACAGAACAAAGAAUAAGAAAAUUUAUCAGUUCUUUUUUUGUUUUAUUUUGUAACAUUCAUUGUUAAAUAGUUUUUUAUUACAUCAAUUAUAGACUUAUUUAUUGCUAAUGUCCAUUUUCAUUCAUAAAACAUUCAUGAAAAUAAAAAAAAUUCGAGUAAAGAUGUCAUG